rnacentral:rRNA from 1 species
AGAGUUUGAUCCUGGCUCAGGAUGAACGCUAGCGGCAGGCUUAACACAUGCAAGUCGAGGGGCAGCGAGGGUAGCAAUACCUGUCGGCGACCGGCGCAAGGGUGCGUAACGCGUGAGCAACAUGCCCGUAUCAGGGGGAUAAUCCAGGGAAACUUGGUCUAAUACCGCAUAAUAAUCAUUUGGGGCAUCUUGGAUGAUUUAAAAUUUCGAUGGAUACGGAUUGGCUCGCGUGACAUUAGCUGGAUGGUAGGGUAACGGCCUACCAUGGCUACGAUGUCUAGGGGUUCUGAGAGGAAGGUCCCCCACACUGGAACUGAGACACGGUCCAGACUCCUACGGGAGGCAGCAGUGAGGAAUAUUGGACAAUGGAUGGAAAUCUGAUCCAGCCAUGCCGCGUGCAGGAAGACGGCCCUAUGGGUUGUAAACUGCUUUUGUAUGGGAGCAAUAAGGGCUACGAGUAGCCUGAUGAGAGUACCAUACGAAUAAGGACCGGCUAACUCCGUGCCAGCAGCCGCGGUAAUACGGAGGGUGCAAGCGUUAUCCGGAUUUAUUGGGUUUAAAGGGUGCGUAGGCGGUUUGAUAAGUCAGCGGUGAAAUAUUUCAGCUUAACUGGAAGGGUGCCGUUGAUACUGUCGAGCUUGAAUUUAGUUGCUGUGGGUGGAAUGUGUGGUGUAGCGGUGAAAUGCAUAGAUAUCACACAGAAUAUCGAUUGCGAAGGCAGCUCACAAAGCUAAUAUUGACGCUGAUGCACGAAAGUGUGGGGAUCAAACAGGAUUAGAUACCCUGGUAGUCG